rnacentral:rRNA from 1 species
AUACGGAGGGUGCAAGCGUUAUUCGGAAUUACUGGGCGUAAAGCGCGCGUAGGCGGAUGAUUAAGUCAGUUGUGAAAGCCCUGGGCUCAACCUAGGAACUGCAUCUGAUACUGGUCGUCUAGAGUUUAAGAGAGGGAAGUGAAUUCCAGGUGUAGCAGUGAAAUGCGUAGAUAUCUGGAGGAACAUCAGUGGCGAAGGCGACUUCCUGGCUUAAAACUGACGCUGAGGUGCGAAAGCGUGGGUAGCGAACGGGAUUAGAAACCCCAGUAGUCC